AGGCAGUGGAUGGCAAACAAUAUGGCCAUGAGGUGGUUGGAAAGACUUCCAUUGUGACUGAGACUGUGCGUCACUGUAUCUGUGAAUGAGUCCCUCCCAGCGGUGGUCACUUUCAUUGAUUGCGUGGCUGCUAGCUCCUCGGUGAUUUGAAACUCUGCAGUUGACCCACGGAAGAAGAUGAGCAGCUGGGCAGUGGCACACGCAACGCAGCUCUCAUCCAACGUCAGAGAAAAAUAAAGUCGGGGUUCUGUUCUUCAUCUGAAGCGCCACGUUUUCAGCGAUGUCCUCAACCCGCUCCGUUACAGUGCGUCGAAAGAGCGGCACGUCCUCGAAUGCUCCCCCUUUCUCCGGGCAUAUCAGCGCAAAAGCUGUCCCUGGGUGUUGAAGAAAAGGAGACUGUUUUGACAAAAUAAAGAGUAUAAAGUACUGGUAUGCUUCCAAAUGAAGGAAGUAAAAGAUGUAAAAAAGACAUCAGAAAAAUAGGGCUACAAUGUCUCUGCCGUCUGGCCCCACGCAUCUUUCAAAGCGAGGCAGCGAUGAACUGGAUGGAAUUGUCCACGUCGACGAAUUACAAUCACAAUCACAAUGGGCAUU